UGUGGGAUGCCGGCCGGCAGAGGCGGAGGGGAGAGGGCGCGGGAAUCCUGUGUGGCUCGGACGCAGUGUCCCUGAGCUGGGUUCAGUCAUCCCCUGCAGCCGGGAGGUGUUUCCUAACAGUCCUGGUUCACCACUGGGGACUGAGGAUUCAAACUCGGACUCCAGCCUCGGUCCUCUUUCCCCACCAACGAUGGCUCCUGUCUCCCGACAUUGGUGGGGUUGGACUUCAUCUCUUUUUUGCUUUGAGGAUCUACUGUGUGUAAGCUCUCGCUGGCCUGCAAAGGAGUCUUUGCAGAGGGCCAUGUGCUAGAGAAUGGUGGAAUGAGAGCUUGGAGAUGCCUGAGGUGCAGUCCCUAUCAGCCUGAUAGGUUGGGGGUCCAGGUGAGAGAUCAGGCUUGAAAACUUCAUGGAGGACUCAUCUUUUCUGCCUGAAUGGGAAGCAGUUCCUGACUGACUUAUUACUGUAUUAAAGUGUUGUAAUUAACUGUG